CAGUUGAGUUCGCCGAAGAUCUGCCUU
rnacentral:sRNA from 1 species